rnacentral:lncRNA from 1 species
UCUCCCACGGAAAGCCACGCCUACCCCAGGCCCCUCCUUCGUUCCCUCCCGAGGGGUUGGCUCUGAUGACCUGGGCAGGGACUCUGCUUCGCAGACGCAGUGUCGAUCUAAUCUUGAGCGCAAGUUUCGUUUUUGGAGAUUGUCAAGGUGACACCCUCGGGGACUCCGUUUCCUUUUACAAAGCUGUUCUGUGAAGGAGAGCGAGCAGGAAGAUGAAGAAAGCCUGGAACCGAGUACACGCCACAGGAAGCAUGCUGACGUUUUCCGCAGUGCUUGUGAAAGGUCUAUUUCCAAACAAAAGAUUCAGCCUUUCUGCCGCUUACCUGAGGACCUUGAACUGGGUCAUGUGGUCACCUCCACCUACUGGGAGGCAUCUCCAGCAGGCAAGUUGGAGAAGCUAUGAAGGCAUUGCCAGCUUUCAUUACAUCGGCUACAAUUCAUUCUGGAAUGGAGAAGGAACUCCCAGCUCCUGCUGCCUGAGCACCACAAUUGAGACCAUGUUUUCUUCUGCCUCUGUUAUAUAUUUUCAGUGCUGAAAGCAGCCACUCCAGUUUGCUUCUUUGAGAUAGCUUCUAAUAGUGUUUAUCUAAGAAUCAAGACACUCGGUCAAGAUUAGCCUUUGAGUGGUUGCCUGGCCUGGCUCUAACUAGGUAUUUUAGCAAUGUGCAGUCUGAACAUGCCGGGGGGGGGGUGGCGGGGGUCCUGUCUUUAUUCUCUAUAGUUCCACUACACCUUCAACAGAGCAUUAAAUUUGGCAGAAAUAUAAUCAAGAGUGACAACUCAGUGCUGACCACAGCCUCACUGGGUGGGACAUAUGGGAAACUGCAGGAUAUCAAGGUAGCCGGUAAACCACAGUGUAACUAAAGGAGUCCUUUCAAAGAUACAUUGAAGCAAAACAGAGCAAUCAACAGUUUAGGAACUGCUAAGAAUUUGAGUCAGGGACCUGGAUUCAUGUGUGACUUUGCUUCUAUCCCAUGUGGACCAUAGGCAGGGCAUUAAUGUCUCUGGGGUUUUGACUUCUUUAUGUGUGAAAGAAUGAGGCUGGAGUAGGAAACCUUGUUUAUUUAAUGCACAGGUCUUAUCACUGAACUACCUCUGGCUUGAGGACCCCCCUUUUCUUUUAACAUCAAGUUUUGCAACACAGUCCUGGAUGACUUUGAACACAUAAUUCUCUUGCCUCAAUCUCCCAAAUGAUGGCAUUAAAAAGUACGUAGACACAACAUACUUGUGUACACAUGUGCAUGCACACAUACAAGUAAAUAAACAUGUAACUUUAAAAUUAAAAAGAACA